rnacentral:rRNA from 1 species
UUCCGGUUGAUCCUGCCGGAGGCCAUUGCUAUCGGAGUCCGAUUUAGCCAUGCUAGUCGUGCGAGUUCAGACUCGCGGCACCAAGCUCAGUAACACGUGGCCAAACUACCCUACAGAGACGGAUACCCUCGGGAAACUGAGGUUAACCCGUCAUACCGAUCUCAGGCUUGAAUCGCAGAGAUCACAAAAUGCCCCGGCGCUGUAGGAUGUGGCUGCGGUUGAUUAGGUAGACGGUGGGGUAACGGCCCACCGUGCCCAUAAUCAGUACAGGUUGUGAGAGCAAGAACCUGGAGACGGAAUCUGAGACAAGAUUCCGGGCCCUACGGGGCGCAGCAGGCGCGAAACCUUUACACUGCACGCACGUGCGAUAAGGGGACUCCGAGUGCGAGGGCAUAUCGUCCUCGCUUUCGUGUACCGUAGGGUGGUACACCAACAAGGGCUGGGCAAGACCGGUGCCAGCCGCCGCGGUAAUACCGGCAGCCCGAGUGAUGGCCGAUCUUAUUGGGCCUAAAGCGUCCGUAGCUGGCUACGCAAGUCCGUCGGGAAAUCCACUCGCCCAACGAGUGGGCGUCCGACGGAAACUGCAUAGCUUGGGACCGGAAGGCUCGAAGGGUACGUUCGGGGUAGGAGUGAAAUCCCAUAAUCCCGCACGGACCACCGAUGGCGAAAGCACUUCGAGAAAACGGAUCCGACAGUGAGGGACGAAAGCCAGGGUCUCCAACCGGAUUAGAUACCCGGGUAGUCCUGGCCGUAAACAAUGUUCGCUAGGUAUGACACAGACUACGCGUCUCUGUUGUGCCGUAGGGAAGCCGAGAAGCGAACCGCCUGGGAAGUACGUCUGCAAGGAUGAAACUUAAAGGAAUUGGCGGGGGAGCACUACAACCGGAGGAGCCUGCGGUUUAAUUGGAGUCAACGCCGGA